rnacentral:rRNA from 1 species
UUGGAGGGCAAGUCUGGUGCCAGCAGCCGCGGUAAUUCCAGCUCCAAUAGCGUAUAUUAAAGUUGCCGCAGUUAAAAAGCUCGUAGUUGAAUUUCGGGACCAAUAUGUCGGUCGUGCCUCGGUACGUACUGGCAUCGUUGGUUUCUCCCUUCUGACGAACCAUGAUGUCAUUUAUUUGGUGUCGUGGGGAAUCAGGACUGUUACUUUGAAAAAAUUAGAGUGUUUAAAGCAGGCACACGCUUGAAUACAUUAGCAUGGAAUAAUGAAAUAGGACGUUUGAUUCUAUUUUGUUGGUUUCUAGGAUCGACGUAAUGAUUAAUAGGGAUAGUUGGGGGCAUUAGUAUUCAAUUGUCAGAGGUGAAAUUCUUGGAUUUAUUGAAGACUAACUACUGCGAAAGCAUUUGCCAAGGAUGUUUUCAUUAAUCAAGAACGAAAGUUAGGGGAUCGAAGACGAUCAGAUACCGUCGUAGUCUUAACCAUAAACUAUGCCGACUAGGGAUCGGAUGAUGUUAAUUUUUUAAUGACUCAUUCGGCACCUUACGGGAAAC